UCCCUCUCAGGAUUGCUUCUGGAGAGUUUUCAGUGCUCUACCAGUCUCAACUACUGGAGGGAGAGCAAGCAGAUGUAUACCCAUUCCAUUCCUAGCUUGGGCAGUUGCUAGCGAGUGGAAGGCAAUCGGCUACAAGU